UACGUAGGGCGCAAGCGUUGUCCGGAAUUAUUGGGCGUAAAGAGCUCGUAGGCGGCUUGUCACUUCGGUUGUGAAAGCCCGGGGCUUAACCCCGGGUCUGCAGUCGAUACGGGCAGGCUAGAGUGUGGUAGGGGAGAUCGGAAUUCCUGGUGUAGCGGUGAAAUGCGCAGAUAUCAGGAGGAACACCGGUGGCGAAGGCGGGUCUCUGGGCCGUAACUGACGCUAAGGAGCGAAAGCGUGGGGAGCGAACAGG
rnacentral:rRNA from 1 species